rnacentral:rRNA from 1 species
GGGCUUGCAUGCGCGUCGCCUGAUGCAGCGACGCCGCGUGAGUGAUGACAGGCCUUCGGGAUUGUAAAGCUCUUUCGGCGGGGACGAUGCUGACGGUACUCGCACCCCAGGCGCCGGACGUCUCCGUGACAAGAGCCCCGGUAAUACUAUGGGCGCGCGCGUUGGGUAAUCUCACUGGGCGUAACGUUCUCCGAAGUUAUUGGGCUUAUCGCGUGUGAAGUCCGCUUGCUCAGCCCGGGGUGAGACCUCCAGACUGAACCGCUGGACUGCGGUAGAGACGGGUGGAAUUGAGUGUGUAGAGGGGAAGUGCAAUUCUCUGUGGAGCGGCGACAUUGGCGAAUGCGGGUCGGUGGACCGGUGCUGAAGCUGACUUGCUGAACCGUGGCGGAGCGCACAGGAU